CCUACGGGGGGCGGCAGCUAAGAAUCUUCCGCAAUGGGCGCAAGCCUGACGGAGCGACGCCGCGUGGACGAAGAAUGCCGAGAGGUUGUAAAGUCCUUUUAUAUGCGAAGAAUAAUGCUUGUAGGUAAUGACAGGCAGAUGACGUUAGCAUAUGAAUAAGCUCCGGCCAAUUACGUGCCAGCAGCCGCGGUAACACGUAAGGAGCGAGCGUUGUUCGGAAUUAUUGGGCGUAAAGGGCAUGUAGGCGGUUACAUAAGUCUGGUGUGAAAUACUACAGCUUAACUGUAGAAACGCACUGGAAACUGUGUGACUUGAAUCUGUGAGGGGUAACUGGAAUUCCUAGUGUAGGGGUGAAAUCUGUUGAUAUUAGGAAGAACACCGAUGGCGAAGGCAAGUUACUGGCACAUGAUUGACGCUGAGAUGCGAAAGCGUAGGGAGCGAACAGGAUUAGAUACCCUGGUAGUCUACGCUGUAAACGAUGUGCACUUGGUGUCGGGGUUCUAAGCCUCGGUGCCGCAGCUAACGCGUUAAGUGCACCGCCUGGGGAGUAUGCCGGCAACGGUGAAACUCAAAGGAAUUGACGG
rnacentral:rRNA from 1 species